rnacentral:rRNA from 1 species
UACGGGGGGAGCAAGCGUUGUUCGGAUUUACUGGGCGUAAGGGCGCGUAGGCGGCCACCGCAAGUCGACUGUGAAAUCUCCGGGCUUAACCCGGAAAGGUCAGCCGAUACUGCGGGGCUAGAGUGCAGAAGGGGCAACUGGAAUUCUCGGUGUAGCGGUGAAAUGCGUAGAUAUCGAGAGGAACACCAGUGGCGAAGGCGGCUCACUGGACCGGAACUGACGCUGAGGCGCGAAAGCGUGGGGAGCAAACGGG